AUACUGCUUAACACAUGCAAGUCGAACGAUGAAGCUGGAGCUUGCUCCGGUGGAUUAGUGGCGAACGGGUGAGUAACACGUGAGCAAUCUGCCCUUGACUCUGGGAUAACUGCGGGAAACUGUAGCUAAUACCGGAUACGACGUACGGAGGCAUCUCCUGUACGGGAAAGAAUUUCGGUCAAGGAUGAGCUCGCGGCCUAUCAGCUAGUUGGUGAGGUAAUGGCUCACCAAGGCGACGACGGGUAGCCGGCCUGAGAGGGUGACCGGCCACACUGGGACUGAGACACGGCCCAGACUCCUACGGGAGGCAGCAGUGGGGAAUAUUGCACAAUGGGCGAAAGCCUGAUGCAGCAACGCCGCGUGAGGGAUGAAGGCCUUCGGGUUGUAAACCUCUUUUAGUUGGGAAGAAGCGAAAGUGACGGUACCAACAGAAAAAGCACCGGCUAACUACGUGC
rnacentral:rRNA from 1 species